GUAUAUUCAUACUUCUGAUGAGGUUGAUAGUCAGAACAGCUUGACUCUCCCUGCUUGGUUUAAAAAUAAUCAGCAACCAAAAAUGUGUCCCUUAACAGUGAGUUUUGGAAUUAACAAAUCAAGUGAACUAUCUGCCCUACUUGGUGCUAAAUGGAUUUUCAGAGCUGUCUGUCUUAAAUAUCCUUGCUCUCCAGAGGUGAAGGCACAAAACAGUGAGAAGAGGCCUCAUUCUGCAAUCCCAGCUUGCUUGGGUCAAUCUUGUUUAUUUGAACGUGUUUGAUUCAGGAACACUGAUGAUGAUGGGGGAGGUGCUUGCACUAACCAACUGCUGUACAGUAUCUUUUUACUUUUUUUUGGUAAUAUGAUCUAAGACUAUCCUAAAGUGAGCAUCAAACACUGCAGCAUGUUUUUUCCUUCCUCAUUGCUGCAUGUAUCUACAACUGCUUCUGCAGUGUUAGGUAAAUCUGUUGUCCUGGCAG
rnacentral:lncRNA from 1 species